AUGGAUCAAAAUAUCUUCCAAAGCUUUUAUGUGUGCUUUAGUGCUAUGAAACAGGGUUUUAAAGCAUGCAGAAGAGUUAUUGGGCUUGAUGGUUGUUUUUUCAAAGGAGCAUGUCAAGGUGAGUUGCUAUGUGCUAUUGGUAGAGAUGCUAAUAAUCAAAUGUAUCCAGUAGCUUGGGCAGUAGUGGAGAAAGAAACAACCGAAACUUGGGAGUGGUUUAUUGGCCUGUUGAUAAAGGACUUGGAUAUUAAUGAUCAAGGUGAAGGAUGGGUGUUCAUAUCAGAUCAGCAGAAGGGCUUGAUCAGUGCAAUGCAAGACUACUUGCCAAAGGCACAACAUAGAAUGUGUGCUAGACACAUCUAUGCUAACUGGAAAAAGAAGUUUAGAGAGCAUGCUUUGCAAAAGAAAUUCUGGGCAAUUGCCAAGGCUGCAAACAGAGAAGACUUCAUGUAUAGGAAGGCCAAGUUAGCUCAAGAUACACCUGAAGGUGCAAGGGACAUAAUGAGGACAGAGCCUAAGCAUUGGGCAAGAGCAUUCUUUCCUGUUGGAUCCCUUUGUGACUCAGUGGAUAACAAUCUAUGUGAGUCCUUCAAUAAUGCUAUAGUUGAGGCCAGAUUCUAUCCUAUCAUCUCUAUGCUAGAGAAAAUUAGACACAAGAUGACACUUAGAGUCCAAGAAAAUAGAAGCAAAAGUGCAAAGUGGACAUCUAGUGAUAUAUGCCCAAACAUUUUCAAGAAGCUUAAGGUGGCCAUCAAAAUGACUCAGUUCUGUGAUGUUCUCUGGAAUGGCAAGGAAGGGUUCGAGGUGAAACAUGUGAGUGGCAGAGGAAGGAGCUAUACAGUAAACUUAGACAAAUGGACUUGCUCUUGUGGUUACUUUCAGCUGGCAGGGCUGCCUUGCUGCCAUGCCAUCAGUGCCAUAUACAAGAGUGGAAGAAACAUAGCUGAUUUCAUUCACAAGUGCUAUUCAGUUGAGCAAUUUAAGAAGAUAUAUGAGCACUGCUUGGAUCCAGUAGAAGGACAGGAGAGAUGGUCUGUCUCAGACAAACCUAGACCACAAGCACCUGGGUAUGUGAGUAUGCCAGGUAGGCCUAGGAAGAAUGACAGGAAGAGGGAAGAGGGAGAAGCACCUAAAGGAAAGAAAAUGUCAAAGCAUGGCACUAAAAUUACUUGCAGCAUGUGUGGCCACAAGGGCCACAACAAGACAGGCUGCAACAAGAAUCCUGAAAAGGGGAAGAAGAAGAAUGCCUUCCUGAAGAAAACAGGCAGGAAAAUGAAGUCAUCUGAGCAAGCAAACACUGAUGCUCAGAUCAGAGCAAGCCAGCAGGCUAAGAGCGGAGGAGAAGUUCAAGCACAAGCAAGAAUAAGUGGAGGGAAGAGGAAAGCUACAAACAAACAGAAUGUGCAAGCCAAGAAAAAAUCAAAGAAAUGA
rnacentral:rRNA from 1 species